UCUCGGAUGGCGCAGUGGUCAACGCACCUGCCUAUUAAGCAGGAGACUCCGGGUUUGAAUCCCGGUCCGAUAC